rnacentral:misc_RNA from 1 species
UCCGGUUUGACACCGGCAGUCUCUCAUGAGUCCCCGACAUUACUCGCUGGCAACAUAAGAUAGGGGUUGCGCUCGUUGCGGGACUUAACCCAACACCUCACGGCACGAGCUGACGACAACCAUGCACCACCUGUGGGAGGCCCCGAAGGGCUGCCGUGUUUCCACGACAUUCCUGUGCAUGUCAAGCCCAGGUAAGGUUCUUCGCGUUGCGUCGAAUUAAGCCACAUGCUCCACCGCUUGUGCGGGCCCCCGCCAAUUCCUUUGAGUUUUAGCCUUGCGGCCGUACUCCCCAGGCGGGGCGCUUAAUGCGUUAGCUACGGCACGGAUCCCGUGGAAGGAAACCCACACCUAGCGCCCACCGUUUACGGCGUGGACUAC